rnacentral:sRNA from 1 species
AGAAAGAAGUCGACGGCAAUCUCGAUUCAUUUUUUAAUUAAUUAAAGGCCACUUAAAGGUGGCCUUUUUU